rnacentral:rRNA from 1 species
GUCGAGAAUCUUCCGCAAUGCGCGAAAGCGUGACGGAGCGACACCGCGUGAUGGAUGAAGUCCUUCGGGGCGUAAACAUCUUUUAUAAAGGAGGAAAUUUUUGACGUUACUUUAUGAAUAAGGGGCUCCCAAUCUCGUGCCAGCAGGGGCGGUAAUACGAGAGCCUCAAGCGUUAUCCGGAAUCAUUGGGCGUAAAGGGUGCGUAGGUGGUUUGAUUAGUCUCCCGUUAAAACUUCGAGCUUAACUCGAAAAGAGCGGGGGAAACGGUCAAACUAGAGGAUGUGAGAGGUGUGUGGAACUCAUGGUGUAGGGGUGAAAUCCGUUGAUAUCAUGGGGAACACCAAAAGCGAAGGCAGCACACUGGCACAUCACUGACACUGAGGCACGAAACCUAAGGUAGCGAAUGGGAUUAGAAACCCGGGUAGUCC